rnacentral:rRNA from 1 species
GCGGUGGAGCAUGUGGUUUAAUUCGAAGCAACGCGCAGAACCUUACCAGCCUUUGACAUGGCAGGACGAUUUUCAGAGAUGGAUCUCUCCAGCAAUGGACCUGCACACAGGUGCUGCAUGGCUGUCGUCAGCUCGUGUCGUGAGAUGUUGGGUUAAGUCCCGCAACGAGCGCAACCCUCGCCUUUAGUUGCCAUCAUUCAGUUGGGCACUCUAAAGGGACUGCCGGUGAUAAGCCGCGAGGAAGGUGGGGAUGACGUCAAGUCCUCAUGGCCCUUACGGGCUGGGCUACACACGUGCUACAAUGGCGGUGACAGUGGGAUGCAAAGGGGCGACCCCUCGCAAAUCUCAAAAAGCCGUCUCAGUUCGGAUUGUACUCUGCAACUCGAGUGCAUGAAGUUGGAAUCGCUAGUAAUCGUGGAUCAGCAUGCCACGGUGAAUACGUUCCCGGGCCUU